GAAAAAGACCCCUACCUUGUUUCCUUUACAAAGAAACAAUUUGGUAAAUAGGGGGGCCAAGUUACGCUGGAGAGGAGAGGAGUGACGGAUCCUUGAACUACCGACACAGGAGAGAAAGUCAAUACAGGCACCGUUUUGGUUUCAACCCCUUGGUUCGCGGAAGGAUACCAAAAAAGUCCUAGAAAGACACAGGAAGUACCUGACACUACACAGACAGUGAAACCAGGAGAGUGAGUGUUCACCAGAGCGAUAAAGAGGAAGAGCUGGCACUCGCCCAAGUGGGAGGGUCCCUACCAAGCACUCCUGUCUACACCGACUGCAGUUAGAGUGGCGGAGAGACCAUCCUGGAUACAUCUGACUGUGAAGCUGUUUAAACCUAAAGACAGAAACUCGCCUCUACUGUGGUGAAGUCUGG